ensembl:antisense Gm15598 predicted gene 15598
CUCAUCCCACUCUGAGGCAAAGGAAGGUGAUUUCUCCAACCUCUUCUUCCCGAUGCUGCAGUUGGACAAGGACUCGCUGCGACUCCCCAUUGUGGCGUCCUCCGUGGGGGAGCAGGUCAGGAGGUCAGAGUCAGACUUAGACAAACUGCGGCUGAGUUUGAGCUCAGCUUUGGGCUUGCUGGUGGGAGGGGCUCUGCUUCUGGGCCCGCUCUGGUCUUCUUCCUCGGCACCAGCAGGGCGCAGAGGUACUGUGUGAGUCAAUGCAUCGAGGUAUGUUCUGCUGGCCAGGGCUGUCAGGCCUUAAAUAUCUAAGGGAUUCUCCCCACGUCCUCUGUACGCUCCCUGGUAUCUCAAUUCCGUGUGAACAUAACCUUAGCCUGAAAAUGCAGCUGAAAUGUGUAACUGAAAACUAAAAGUAAUGCUUUAGUGUUUUUGUUUGUUUUCUUCUAAGGCAUGGUCUCACUAUGUAGCCCUGGCUGUCCUGAAACUCAUUCUGUAGACCAGGCUAACCCUAGCCUUGAACUCACAGAGAUCUACCUGCCUCUGCUUCCUAAGUGCUAGGAUUACAGGUGUGUGUCAUGUCUAGCCUCCUCCAUCUUUUGGGUUCAUCCUUUCUUCCUUCCUUUGUGUUUUGCACAUUAAAGAUUUAUUUUAUGUAUGUGAGUACACUGCAGCUGUCUUCAGAUACACCAGAAGAGGGCAUUGGAUCCCAUUACAGAUGGCUGUGAGUCACCAUGUGGUUGCUGGGAUUUGAAUUCAGGAC